rfam:Populus trichocarpa scaffold_13_contig_186, whole genome shotgun sequence.
UCUAGAACUCCAUCUAUGGGUAAACUUCUUAGCAGUGUUGGGCUGGAUUUCAGGACAGAUUAUGACUUCUCUUUUGUGGCCAAGCUUUGAAUUUGAAAACGACAGAUUUGGGUCUUCCACUCUUCAUGAAAGUUGUAGGCCUAUGUCUUAACUUUCAAGA